rnacentral:sRNA from 1 species
UGCAUGACUUUCCGAAUACAAGUUCGUA